rnacentral:lncRNA from 1 species
CGGCCGCGGGGCGGGACAACUUUGAAUGCCUCUGGGACACUUGGAUUUCUCAUCCGCAAUAUGGGGCACAGAAAUGGGUUUGGAGCGAGUGUUCAGCUGUCACUACCCGGACAGAAGUGACAACUUCAAAUUUCCUUGUCUGUGGUUGUUUGGAGACCCAGGCAAAAGGGACCUGGGUCGGUCUAUCAUGGCCAAGCAAGGAAUGUUCAAUUUGUGGCGGGAGAUCGGGAUAAGUGAGGCGAGAAAUACAGGAUGCAGAAAUCUUACAUCUAAGAUCCCGUCUUGAGUGACUGGUGUGUUUUUGUUUGUUCCAACAGUGUUUCCAUUCACUGUAGAAAGAAACACAAGCGAUUGGCGGAGGACGAUGAGUGUCCAGUAAGAAAGAAGCGCUUGACUGAAGCAGAACUUGGUGCAGUUGCCGAUGAGUGGGUUCUUGGCACACAUC